GAUAUGGGAAAAGGGGCGAAAGCCUAAUCCAGCCAUGCCGCGUGUGUGAAGUAGGUCUUAUGAUUGUAAAGCACGUUAAGUUGGGAGGAAGGGUUGUAGGUUAAUACCCUGCAAUUUUGACGUUACCAACAGAAUAAGCACCGGCUAACUUCGUGCCAGCAGCAGCGGUAAUACGAAGGGUGCAAGCGUUAAGCGUAAUUACUGGGCGUAAAGCGCGCGUAGGUGGUUCGUUAAGUUGGAAGUGAAAGCCCCGGGCUUAACCUGGGAAUUGCUUUCAAAACUGACGAGCUAGAGUACGGUAGAGGGUAGUGGAAUUUCCUGUGUAGCGGUGAAAUGCGUAGAUAUAGGAAGGAACAUCAGUGGCGAAGGCGACUACCUGGACUGAUACUGACACUGAGGUGCGAAAGCGUGGGGAGCAAACAGG
rnacentral:rRNA from 1 species